rnacentral:rRNA from 1 species
UACGUAGGGUGCGAGCGUUAAUCGGAAUUACUGGGCGUAAAGCGUGCGCAGGCGGUUCGUUGUGUCGGCGGUGAAAGCCCCGGGCUCAACCUGGGAAUGGCCGUUGAAACUGGCGAACUGGAGUGUGGCAGAGGGGGGUGGAAUUCCACGUGUAGCAGUGAAAUGCGUAGAGAUGUGGAGGAACACCGAUGGCGAAGGCAGCCUCCUGGGCCAGCACUGACGCUCAUGCACGAAAGCGUGGGGAGCAAACAGG